GGAAGGAUCAUUACAGAAUUGUCAACGGGUUGUUGCUGGUCCUCGAACGGGGACAUGUGCACGCUCUGUUUACACAUCCACUCACACCUGUGCACCCUCCGUAGUUCUGUGGUCUGGGGGACCCUGUCUUCCUGCCGUGGUUCUACGUCUUUACACACACACACUGUAAUAAAGUCUUAUGGAAUGUAUGCCGCGUCUAACGCAAUACAAUACAACUUUCAGCAACGGAUCUCUUGGCUCUCGCAUCGAUGAAGAACGCAGCGAAAUGCGAUAAGUAAUGUGAAUUGCAGAAUUCAGUGAAUCAUCGAAUCUUUGAACGCACCUUGCGCCCCUUGGCUAUUCCGAGGGGCAUGCCUGUUUGAGUAUCAUGAACACCUCAACUCUCAUGGUUCGCCGUGAUGAGCUUGGACUCUGGGGGUUUUGCUGGCCUGCGGUCGGCUCCCCUCAAAUGAAUCAGCCUCCCAGUGUUUGGUGGCAUCACGGGUGUGAUAAAUAUCUACGCUCGCAGUUGUCCACCGGGUAACCUUUGGCGACAAAGGUUUGCUGGAGCUCACAGAUGUCUCUCCUCGGCGAAGACAGCUUUUUGAACGUUCGAUCUCAAAUCAGGUAGGACUACCCGCUGAACUUAAGCAUAUCAAUAAGCGGAGGAAAAGAAACUAACAAGGAUUCCCCUAGUAACUGCGAGUGAAGCGGGAAGAGCUCAAAUUUAAAAUCUGGCGUGCCUCUGGUCGUCCGAGUUGUAGUCUAGAGAAGUGUUUUCCGUGUUGGACCGUGUAUAAGUCCCUUGGAACAGGGCGUCGUAGAGGGUGAGAAUCCCGUCUUUGACACGGACUACCAACGCUUUGUGAUGCGCUCUCAAAGAGUCGAGUUGUUUGGGAAUGCAGCUCAAAAUGGGUGGUAAAUUCCAUCUAAAGCUAAAUAUAGGCGAGAGACCGAUAGCGAACAAGUACCGUGAGGAAAAA
rnacentral:sRNA from 1 species